rnacentral:rRNA from 1 species
GUAGGGAAUAUUGCAAAUGGGCGAAAGCCUGAUGUAGCAACGCCACGUGUGCGAUGAAGGUCUUCGGAUUGUAAAGCACUUUUUGGAGGGAUGAGGAAGGACAGUACCUCCAGAAUAAGCCUCGGCUAACUACGUGCCAGCAGCCGCGGUAACACGUAGGAGGCAAGCGUUAUUCGGAUUUACUGGGCGUAAAGCGCGUGCAGGCGGUUUGGAAAGUUGGAUGUGAAAGCUCCUGGCUCAACUGGGAGAGGUCGUUCAAUACUUCCAGACUUGAGAGUGGUAGAGGGAGGUGGAAUUCCGGGUGUAGUGGUGAAAUGCGUAGAUAUCCGGAGGAACACCAGUGGCGAAAGCGGCUCACUGGCUCGAUACUGACGCUGAGGUGCGAAAGCGUGGGGAGCAAACAGGAUUAGAUACCCGAGUAGUCC